UUAGUAUUAAAUUAGUUUUUUUGAAAAAUUCUGGGACUCUCUCUCUCGUCUCUCUCCCUUCGCAGAAACCAAGUUGGCCAGUUUUGGCCAGCGAUCUUGGUGCUUCGGCCACGGCUAGAUGCGUGACUAGUCGGAAAAUGACUAGAGGAGGUCGGUAAACCACGCUUGAGCCCAUUCCCGGAGAGCCUAGCCUCCUUUCGCCGUCGCGAGCUCUAGGAACCUUUGAGGGUUUCAAGUUUUCCGACACCUUUUUUGGUGGUUCCAACGACUGUUGUCGCAGAUCUAGCUCUUUGGUUGCUGGACUCUGUAUUCUGAAAUGGUGUGAGAGCUUGUUGAGCUGCAGUUGAUUGUUUGAGCUUUAGCUUCAAUCAAAAGGAUCUUUACUUGAGGGGAUUCUGGUUGAAGAAUUGGAUGAGUACAGAGAAGGCAAAAGAGUGUAGAGUUUUGAUAGAUUCCCUCCUGGACCUAGCACGGGAAGGGAAGUUAAAAUAUGAGAUGGAGCUGGUUCCUUUUGACAAUUUCAAUGCUGCAUUAGAUGAGGCCCUUGGGAAGCAAGGGAGCCAACCAAAACAAGUUAUCAACUUUCAUUUGAGCAUGGCUGAAGAAUCUGUGAUUGAUCUACAAUGGUAAUUUGUUUAUGAGCAAGACUGGUAAUUUGGAUUUCGUCGCAAGUUAACUCAAGGCUUUGGCUUUGGAGACAGAGGAACCAACCAACCAAGCUAUGGCUACAUAUUUCCAAAAUUUAAGCAACCAAAACUUGUUGAACCCCUCCUAUGCAAGGGAUGAGAAACUUGCUUCUUAUCCUGAACCCCCCGCCAACAUGAUGAUGUAUCUGAAUCAAGCUUCAUAUGUUGCUGGAUUGUAGUUGUUAGCUUCCAGUAAGUGAUGUAUUUCCUUUUGCCUUUGCGAUUGUUUAUAGUGAAAUUGUGGACAAUUGGAGGUGAUUUUUGCAAAGGAUAUCGGAUGUCUUGCUGGGGUUUUUUUCUGUUUUUUUUGUAGUUUUUUUGUAUGAAAUGGUAUUAACAAUGUUUUUCUAUGAAAUGAUAUUAACAU